AUUGAACGCUGGCGGCAUGCUUUACACAUGCAAGUCGGACGAGUGGCGAACGGGUGAGUAACAUAUCGGAACGUACCGAGUAAUGGGGGAAAACUAAUCGAAAGAUUAGCUAAUACCGCAUAUUAUUCGAGCGGCCGAUGUCUGAUGAGCUGGUUGGUGGGGUAAAGGCCUACCAAGGCGACGAUCAGUAUCGGGUCUGAGAGGAGGAUCAGCCACACUGGAACUGUGACACGGCCCAGACUCCGACGGGAGGCAGCAGUGGGGAAUUUUGGACAAUGGGCGAAAGCCUGAUCCAGCCAUGCCGCGUGUCUGAAGAAGGCCUUCGGGUUGUAAAGGACUUUUGUCAGGGAAGCGGUACCUGAAGAAUAAGCACCGGCUAACUACGUGCCAGCAGCCGCGGUAAUUC
rnacentral:rRNA from 1 species